UACGGGGGGAGCAAGCGUUGUUCGGAUUUACUGGGCGUAAAGGGCGCGUAGGCGGUCAGCACAAGUCAGUUGUGAAAUCUCCGGGCUUAACUCGGAAAGGUCAACUGAUACUGUGCGACUAGAGUGCGGAAGGGGCAACUGGAAUUCUCGGUGUAGCGGUGAAAUGCGUAGAUAUCGAGAGGAACACCUGCGGCGAAGGCGGGUUGCUGGGCCGACACUGACGCUGAUGCGCGAAAGCCAGGGAGCGAACAGG
rnacentral:rRNA from 1 species